rnacentral:rRNA from 5 species
UACCCGCUGAGUUUAAGCAUAUCAAUAAGCGGAGGAAAAGAAACUAACAAGGAUUCCCCUAGUAACGGCGAGCG